ensembl:misc_RNA Y_RNA Y RNA
GCCUCAGUUUCCCAAGUAGCUGGGAUUACAGGCAUGCACCACCAUGUCCAGCUAAUUUUAUAUUUUUAGUUAUAGAUUUCUUUGCUCCUUCUCCACUCCCACUGCUUCACUUAACUAGCCUUAA